UGUCGAAAAGGGUCUAAGGGGAAAGCAAUUUAGUUGAAAUCAGUGUAGCUGGUGUGACUUCCAAUUCAUUUUUUAGAGAAGUUUAUUUACAAGGAAUUUUAUUUUCAAUUUUCCAAUAAGAAAAGUAAUAUAAUUUACUAAAUAAUGUUCGCACUACUCGAAUAAGAAUAAAUGUAAUAAAUAACUAUGAGAUAAUAUUUUUGAAGAAAUUCAAUGUGACCAAAAAGUAUGGAACAGAAAAAUUUCGUAUUACAGAAAAAUUAUUCAAUGAGAGAAAUAUACGUUUGGAUUCAAUAACUUGAGACGAUAGAAUCAAUUCCAGUGUGUACUUCCCCGACUAAGCGUUCAUAGAAUGGAAAAGACGAUGAGCAUAGCUUUUAUAAUAUGAACGAAAUUUUUGAAUACUGGUGUACCAAAG